rnacentral:tmRNA from 1 species
GGGACUGCAAGGUUUCUACGUGUUAAUAUUAAUUAUUGAAGUACGGAAAAUGCAAAUAUAUUUCACUUUUUAAGUGAGUAGAAAAAUAAAUGCAAAAAAUCAAAUAGUUUCUUUCUCUCAGAAUUUAGUCGUUGCAUAAAUAUUAAUUGUUGCGUUACAAUUAUUUUUUUGAGAAUCAGGUAUUAUGAAUAUGGUCUAUACCUGAUAAUUUUUAACAUAUUGCUCUUGACUUCUCUGAAGUAUAUUAUGUAGUUAAGUAAAGUUAUAAACAAUAUAUAACAUUUAGAUUUUCUUUAUCUGAAAGCAGGCUAUUGCCGUACUUUAGAUAGCUUCGAAAAUUAUUUAUUAGCAUGGACGUGGGUUCAAUUCCCACCAGUUCCA